rnacentral:tRNA from 1 species
GGGAAGGUGGCUCAGUGGUAGAGCACUUGCCUUGCAUGCAUUAGCCCUGGGUUCGAUUCCUCAGCACCCCA